rnacentral:rRNA from 1 species
UCAGUUCGGAUUGGAGUCUGCAACCCGACUCCAUGAAGCUGGAUUCGCUAGUAAUCGCGCAUCAGCCACGGCGCGGUGAAUACGUUCCCGGGCCUUGUACACACCGCCCGUCAAGCCAUGGGAGCCGGGGGUACCUGAAGUGCGUGACCGCAAGGAGCGCCCUAAGGUAAAAACCGGUGACUGGGGCUAAGUCGUAACAAGGUACC